rnacentral:rRNA from 1 species
UACAGAGGGGGCAAGCGUUGUUCGGAAUUACUGGGCGUAAAGGGCGCGUAGGCGGCCUGUUAAGUCGAACGUGAAAUCCCCGGGCUCAACCCGGGAACUGCGUGUGAUACUGGAUGGCUUGGAUUUGGGAGAGGGAUGCGGAAUUCCAGGUGUAGCGGUGAAAUGCGUAGAUAUCUGGAGGAACACCGGUGGCGAAGGCGGCAUCCUGGACCAAUAUUGACGCUGAGGAGCGAAAGCCAGGGGAGCAAACAGG